GCUGCAUAAAUGAGUUCAAGGCCAACCUAUUCUAUACAGUGAGACUGCCUUCAAAAAAAAAAAAAAAAGACUGGGAUCUAUUGAAGUUUCUUUUCAGCUCUUAAGAACACUUUGCAUUUAAAAUUUAGAUCUUCUUACAUGGAAGAGGUCAAAUCCAGUUAUAGCAAAACACCUUUACAGCAGAGGCCAUAUAACCAAAAAGUCCAAAGGCCCAGCCCAGUGGACCAUUUACUUCAAUGAUGUUCAGUACAAAAUUCCACUGCCACUAAAGACUUGGGAAAGUCCCAUUUAAGUUGUAACAGGAUUUGACUAUUAGUAUGGAUUUUGAUACACUCUUUAAUGUUUUUUGAAGUUGAGAUUUAUUAUAGAAUAUGCUUGUUUCUAGUACCUUCAAAUUUUUCUCUUGGCUGUAUAUGCAGAAGAUUGUAUUCUCUGAAUGUCAUCCUAUGUUGUCUUUUUACCUGUCUGGGUUGCCUUCAGAUGUGGGUGGAGACUGUUAACAAAAGUCCUAGGAAUACUUAAAGUAAACUCUGUCUGGUCUUUGAAGUCUUUUCUUUUGGCAGAGUAAGUUGGGACCUGUGAGAGGUAAAAGUAUGUUGGCUGCCUCUCUGAUACAGGCCAUCUUUAAAUAGGGCAAAAACUUUUGUCCUUUUUUUGUGGUAGAUGGGAUACUUUUUACCUUAUUCCCUAACUGAGUUGAUCAUGUUUAGGACUUUCGGUUUUAGCCAUCUCAUAAGAAUUGUUUAGUCUAAGAGCUAGCGUCAGGUUUUUGAGACAAUAAAGACAAUGUUAUCUGCUGC